CCAACAAGCUUGCUUGUUGGGGUUGUAGGACACUCUAUACGGAGUUACAAAGGACGACAUUAGACGAAUCAUCUGGAAAGAUGAAUCAAAGAAGGUAAUAAUCCUGUAGUCGAAAAUGUUGUCUCUCUUGAGUGGAUCCUGAGUACGACGGAGCACGUGAAAUUCCGUCGGAAUCUGGGAGGACCAUCUCCUAAGGCUAAAUACUCUCUAGUGACCGAUAGUGAACCAGUACCGUGAGGGAAAGGUGAAAAGCACCCCGGAAGGGGAGUGAAAUAGAACCUGAAACCGUGUGCUUACAAGUAGUCAGAGCCCGUUAAUGGGUGAUGGCGUGCCUUUUGUAGAAUGAACCGGCGAGUUACGAUUUGAUGCAAGGUUAAGCAGUAAAUGUGGAGCCGUAGCGAAAGCGAGUCUGAAUAGGGCGUUUAGUAUUUGGUCGUAGACCCGAAACCAGGUGAUCUACCCUUGGUCAGGUUGAAGUUCAGGUAACACUGAAUGGAGGACCGAACCGACUUACGUUGAAAAGUGAGCGGAUGAACUGAGGGUAGCGGAGAAAUUCCAAUCGAACCUGGAGAUAGCUGGUUCUCUCCGAAAUAGCUUUAGGGCUAGCCUCAAGUGAUGAUUAUUGGAGGUAGAGCACUGUUUGGACGAGGGGCCCCUCUCGGGUUACCGAAUUCAGACAAACUCCGAAUGCCAAUUAAUUUAACUUGGGAGUCAGAACAUGGGUGAUAAGGUCCGUGUUCGAAAGGGAAACAGCCCAGACCACCAGCUAAGGUCCCAAAAUAUAUGUUAAGUGGAAAAGGAUGUGGGAUUUCUAAGACAACUAGGAUGUUGGCUCAGAAGCAGCCACUCAUUUAAAGAGUGCGUAAUAGCUCACUAGUCGAGUCGGCCUGCGCGGAAGAUGUAACGGGGCUAAAACUAUGUGCCGAAGCUGCGGAUGUAUACUUUGUAUACGUGGUAGGGGAGCGUUCUGUAAGCCGAUGAAGGUGUGUUGAGAAGCAUGCUGGAGGUAUCAGAAGUGCGAAUGCUGACGUGAGUAACGACAAAACGGGUGAAAAACCCGUUCGCCGAAAGACCAAGGGUUCCAGUCCAACGUUAAUCGGGGCUGGGUGAGUCGACCCCUAAGGCGAGGCCGAAAGGCGUAGUCGAUGGGAAAAUGGUUAAUAUUCCAUUACUUCUGUGUAAUGCGAUGAGAGGACGGAGAAGGCUAAAUCAGCCUGGCGUUGGUUGUCCAGGUGAAAGGAUGUAGGCAUGUAUCUUAGGCAAAUCCGGGGUACUCUAUGCUGAGAUCUGAUAGCAAGCUGUACUUGUACAGUGAAGUGGCUGAUACCAUGCUUCCAGGAAAAGUCUCUAAGC
rnacentral:rRNA from 1 species